rnacentral:tRNA from 2 species
GCGGCAGUGGCGGAAUUGGCAGACGCGCUAGAUUCAGGUUCUAGUGGGCACUACGCUCGUGAAGGUUCAAGUCCUUUCUGCCGCACCA